CCUACGGGAGGCAGCAGUGGGGAAUAUUGGACAAUGGGCGCAAGCCUGAUCCAGCAAUGCCGCGUGAGUGAUGAAGGCCUUAGGGUCGUAAAGCUCUUUUACCAGGGAUGAUAAUGACAGUACCUGGAGAAUAAGCUCCGGCUAACUCCGUGCCAGCAGCCGCGGUAAUACGGAGGGAGCUAGCGUUGUUCGGAAUUACUGGGCGUAAAGCGUACGUAGGCGGUUAUUCAAGUCAGAGGUGAAAGCCCGGGGCUCAACCCCGGAACGGCCUUUGAAACUAGGUAGCUAGAAUCUUGGAGAGGUCAGUGGAAUUCCGAGUGUAGAGGUGAAAUUCGUAGAUAUUCGGAAGAACACCAGUGGCGAAGGCGACUGACUGGACAAGUAUUGACGCUGAGGUACGAAAGCGUGGGGAGCAAACAGGAUUAGAUACCCUGGUAGUCCACGCCGUAAACGAUGAUAACUAGAUGUCGGCGACUGUGCGUCGGUGGCGCGAGCUACGACAUUAAGUUAUACCGUCCGUCGGGAGGUACGGUCGCGAGAAGUAAACGUUAAAGUUAAGUAAGUUAGACGGUAACGUGUAGAGUUGUACCGAACGGACGACGACGAGGGAGGAGG
rnacentral:rRNA from 1 species